rnacentral:rRNA from 1 species
AGCAGCCGCGGUAAUUCCAGCUCCAAUAGCGUAUAUUAAAGUUGUUGCAGUUAAAAAGCUCGUAGUUGAACUUCGGGGUUCACCCAUUGGUCAGGCUUAAUUGUCUGCACUGGUGAGAUGAGUCUCUACCUUCUGAGGAACUUUCAUGCCAUUUAUUUGGUGUGAUUGGAAAUCAGGACUGUUACUUUGAAAAAAUUAGAGUGUUUAAAGCAGGCUAACGUCUGAAUACAUUAGCAUGGAAUAAUGAAAUAGGACGGACUGAUUCUAUUUCGUUGGUUUCUAGGAUCACCGUAAUGAUUAAUAGGGAUAGUUGGGGGCAUUAGUACUCAAUUGUCAGAGGUGAAAUUCUUGGAUUUAUUGAAGACUAACUACUGCGAAAGCAUUUGCCAAGGAUGUUUUCAUUAAUCAAGAACGAAAGUUAGGGGACCGAAGACGAUCAGAUACCGUCGUAGUCUUAACCAUAAACUAUGCCGACUAGGAUCGGAUGAUGUUAAUUUUUAAUGUACUCAUUC